rnacentral:rRNA from 1 species
AUGGCAUGGCCACUGCUCCAGCUCCAGCUCCUGCUCAUCGCCGCUGCCGCCACCACUGCGGCGGCGGCGUCCUCAGCGACGACGCCCGAUGGGCCAGCGCCGUGGCCGGAGCAGUUCCACGCGGUGCUGUUCACGAACCUGACCAACGUCUCGAUCGCAUCGACGAGCCCGGCGCUCCGCCUGCACGACCUCUACUACGACUGGCCGCGGCGGCGCAACCUGAACCUGAUCCGGUACCAGCUGUCCGGCGACCCGCUCUACGACGUGGAGUGGAACAACGGCACCAGCUUCUACUUCGACUCGGCCACCUGCCGCACGCUGCAGUUCCCCGUCGGCGUGCACCGCCCUGGGUGGAUCGCCGAGGGCGGCGCCGUCUACCUCGGCCGCGAGACCACCGGCGGGAUCGACUGCCACGUCUGGGGCAAGGCUGACUUCAUCGUCUACUACGAGGACGCGCUCACGCGCCGCCCCGUCCGCUGGAACUUCAUUGAUGUGACGGGGAUAGAGCAGUUUGUGAUGAGCUUCGAGGUGGGCGUGGUGCUGGAAGACGACGACCAGUGGCAGGCACCCGCGCACUGCUUCCUGGACGACGCAGCCAACAAGACCAACGAGCACGACGAUCAUGUCGCUGUUUCGAAUGGCGUCAUGGACGCGGUCAGGCUAUUCAGGAAGUUUGCUGGAGCUGCCGCCGCCUACUGA